GUGUCAGCCGCCGCGGUAAUACGAAGGGAACUAGCGUUGUUCGGAAUCACUGGGCGUAAAGCGCGCGUAGGCGGCUUUGCAAGUCAGAGGUGAAAUGCCAAGGCUUAACCUUGGAACUGCCUUUGAAACUGCAUCGCUGGAGUGUCGGAGGGGAUAGCGGAAUUGCUAAUGUAGCGGUGAAAUGCGUAGAUAUUAGCAGGAACACCGGUGGCGAAGGCGGCUAUCUGGACGACAACUGACGCUGAGGCGCGAAAGCGUGGGGAUCAAACAGGAUUAGAUACCCCCGUAGUCC
rnacentral:rRNA from 1 species